UGGGGAAUAUUGGACAAUGGGCGCAAGCCUGAUCCAGCCAUGCCGCGUGAGUGAUGAAGGCCCUAGGGUUGUAAAGCUCUUUCACCGGUGAAGAUAAUGACGGUAACCGGAGAAGAAGCCCCGGCUAACUUCGUGCCAGCAGCCGCGGUAAUACGAAGGGGGCUAGCGUUGUUCGGAUUUACUGGGCGUAAAGCGCACGUAGGCGGACUUUUAAGUCAGGGGUGAAAUCCCGGGGCUCAACCCCGGAACUGCCUUUGAUACUGGAAGUCUUGAGUAUGGUAGAGGUGAGUGGAAUUCCGAGUGUAGAGGUGAAAUUAGUAGAUAUUCGGAGGAACACCAGUGGCGAAGGCGGCUAUCUGGACAGUAACUGACGCUGAGGCGCGAAAGCGUGGGUAGCAAACAGG
rnacentral:rRNA from 1 species